UACGUAGGGGGCAAGCGUUGUCCGGAAUCAUUGGGCGUAAAGAGCGCGUAGGCGGCCCAGUAAGUCCGCUCUGAAAGUCAGAGGCUCAACCUCUGGAUGCGGGUGGAUACUGCUGGGCUAGAGUCCGGAAGAGGCGAGUGGAAUUCCUGGUGUAGCGGUGAAAUGCGCAGAUAUCAGGAGGAACACCGGUGGCGAAGGCGGGUCUCUGGGCCGAAACUGACGCUGAGGCGCGAAAGCGUGGGGAGCAAACAGG
rnacentral:rRNA from 1 species